UACGGAGGAUCCAAGCGUUAUCCGGAAUCAUUGGGUUUAAAGGGUCCGUAGGCGGUUUUGUAAGUCAGUGGUGAAAGCCCAUCGCUCAACGGUGGAACGGCCAUUGAUACUGCAAGACUUGAAUUAUUAGGAAGUAACUAGAAUAUGUAGUGUAGCGGUGAAAUGCUUAGAGAUUACAUGGAAUACCAAUUGCGAAGGCAGCUCACUACACAAUCAUUGACGCUGAGGCACGAAAGCGUGGGGAGCAAACAGG
rnacentral:rRNA from 1 species